UAUUCUCGCUCUGCUUCUAUUUUCGACAUUGAUCGAAACUUUUUUUGACAUCGCUUGAGAGAUUAGAUUAUUUUCUAAUGGUAAGGGAAAUUUAACGUCGAUUAGUGUAUUGUUUACAACGAAAAUGCGCUUGGAAUGUGACGAAAUAUGAACACGCGAAGAGAACAUUUGCUCGCUGAAGUCUGGCUACUCGAGCUUUAAUAGGUCGUCUGACCGUUCUCCUCCAUCCAGACCGUUCUCUAUUUCCCUAACUGAUGGAAACGUACGACUUGAUCUGUGCGUCACCAGCCCACUAUCACCAGAAGCAAGGCAUCUGCAUGUCACAUUGCCACACAGUGAUGGACUUGAGGGUCGUCUGACCGUUCACGUCUAUUCAGGAUCUCUUUCCGGCCAAACUAAUGCAAACGAGGAAGUCGUAUUGGCCUUUUUCACAAUUUCAUUACCUCCUGCAGAAGCAAGAGGCCAGCUUCCCCAACAGAAUGAGGGAC